AUCUCUCAACACAGACAGGUUUUGUUGCCUGUUCUGUUGUUUGGAUGUUGAAGGCUUGCUGGCAGUCUGACUGUCAGCUCCUUUUAAAUGCAUUAGCAGAAAGCAUGCAGAACUGGCUUCAGUUUGAUAAAAAACUUAUCUGUGCUGCUGUCGCCAGGAUAAUGCUAGUUGUUUCAGCUUCUAAUAGUCCCCUCUGGGACUGUCUCAUUGAGGCAUACACACUUGAC
rnacentral:misc_RNA from 1 species